AUUGAACGCUGGCGGCAGGCCUAACACAUGCAAGUCGAACGAGUGGCGGACGGGUGAGUCAUGUCUGGGAACCUGCCCGAUGGAGGGGGAUACCUACUGGAACCGGUAGCUAAUACCGCAUACCAUCGGAUGUGCCCAGAUGGGAUUAGCUUGUAGGUGGGGUAACGGCUCACCUAGGCGAAGAUCCCUAGCUGGUCUGAGAGGAUGACCGGCAAAACUGGAACGGAGAAACGGUCCAGAUCCCUACGGGAGGCAGCAGUGGGGAAUAUUGCACAAGGGGGGAAAGCCGGAUACAGCCAUGCGGGGGGUAUGAAGAAGGCUUUCGGGUUGUAAAGUAUUUUCAGAGAGGAGGCGUUACCCGCAGAAGAAGCACCGGCUAACUCCGUGCCAGCAGCCGCGGUAAUUC
rnacentral:rRNA from 1 species